rnacentral:rRNA from 1 species
UGGGGAAUCUUGCACAAUGGGGGCAACCCUGAUGCAGCGACGCCGCGUGAGCGAUGAAGCCCUUCGGGGCGUAAAGCUCUUUCGACCGGAACGAUAAUGACGGUACCGGGAGAAGAAGCUGCGGCUAACUACGUGCCAGCAGCCGCGGUAAUACGUAGGCAGCAAGCGUUGUUCGGAGUUACUGGGCGUAAAGAGUGCGUAGGCGGUUUUCUAAGUUCGGUGUGAAAUCUCCCGGCUUAACUGGGAGGGUGCGCCGAAGACUGGGAGGCUGGAUUGUGGGAAAGGCAGGCGGAAUUCCUGGUGUAGCGGUGAAAUGCGUAGAUAUCAGGAGGAACACCGGCGGUGUAGACGGCUUGCUAGACCAUAACUGACGCUGAGGCACGAAAGCGUGGGUAGCAAACA